GGUAGGAUGGCUGAGAAUUAAGCAGUGGCUUGUAGUCCCACGUACAGAGGUUUGAGCCCUCUUCGUACCG
rnacentral:tRNA from 1 species